rnacentral:rRNA from 1 species
AUUGAACGCUGGCGGCAUGCUUUACACAUGCAAGUCGAACGGCAGCGCGGGGCAACCUGGCGGCGAGUGGCGAACGGGUGAGUAAUAUAUCGGAACGUACCCAAGAGUGGGGGAUAACGUAGCGAAAGUUACGCUAAUACCGCAUACGAUCUAUGGAUGAAAGCGGGGGAUCUUCGGACCUCGUGCUUCUGGACCGGCCGAUAUCUGAUUAGCUAGUUGGUGAGGUAAAGGCUCACCAAGGCGACGAUCAGUAGCUGGUCUGAGAGGACGACCAGCCACACUGGGACUGAGACACGGCCCAGACUCCUACGGGAGGCAGCAGUGGGGAAUUUUGGACAAUGGGCGCAAGCCUGAUCCAGCAAUGCCGCGUGAGUGAAGAAGGCCUUCGGGUUGUAAAGCUCUUUUGUCAGGGAAGAAACGGUUGGGGCUAAUAUCCCCGGCUAAUGACGGUACCUGAAGAAUAAGCACCGGCUAACUACGUGCCAGCAGCCGCGGUAA